UGGUGGAGUGAUUUGUCUGGUUAAUUCCGAUAACGAACGAGACCUCAGCUUGUUAACUAGUCUGUGCAAUCUUCUAUAUGGGAGAAGUUACUCGACCACCUGGAGCUCUGGGCAACCAGUGGCUUCAGGCCCUGUGAUGGAUCCUUGAAGUUUGCAUGGUUACUUCUUAAAAGGACAAUCCGUGUUUAACGGAAGGAAGAGAGGCAAUAACA
rnacentral:rRNA from 1 species